CGGCUCACUGCAACCUCCACCUCCCGGGUUCAAUGUCUCACAUGGAAUAUACUCAAUGAACGGUGGCUGAACAACAACAACAAUUAGAGUGAGAUCCUGAGAAAAGGAUAAGUUUGGCCUCUUUUCUCUGUCUCUUAUGAUGGGCAUAGAUGCCAUGUGAUACCUUCCACCACAGGAUGACCCUCACCAGAUGCCAGUGCCAUGCUCUUGGACUUCCCAGCUUCUAGAACCACGAGCCAAAUAAACAUCUUUUCUACAUAAAUUAUGCAGUCUGUGGUAUUUUGUUGUAACAGCAGAAGAUAGACUGUGACACAGUGAAUGUCACAUGCUGAGUAUUAUUCUACCCAAUCCU